rnacentral:rRNA from 1 species
AGAGUUUGAUUCUGGCUCAGGAUGAACGCUAGCGGCAGGCCUAAUACAUGCAAGUCGAGGGGCAGCAGGGGUAGCAAUACUCGCUGGCGACCGGCGCACGGGUGCGUAACACGUAUGCAACUUUCCUUCAACUGGAAGAUAGCCCGAAGAAAUUCGGAUUAAUAUUCCAUAGUUAUGAAAUGGCAUCAUUUUAUAUUUAAAGCUCAGGCGGUUGAAGAUGGGCAUGCGUUCGAUUAGCUAGUUGGUGAGGUAAUGGCUCACCAAGGCUACGAUCGAUAGGGGAUCUGAGAGGAUUAACACCCACACUGGCACUGAGACACGGACCAGACUCCUACGGGAGGCAGCAGUAAGGAAUAUUGGACAAUGGAGGCAACUCUGAUCCAGCCAUGCCGCGUGAAGGAUGAAGGUCCUAUGGAUUGUAAACUUCUUUUGAACGGGAGAAAACCUUCGGUCGUGUACCGAAGCUGAUAGUACCGUUAGAAUAAGGGUCGGCUAACUUCGUGCCAGCAGCCGCGGUAAUACGAAGGACCCGAGCGUUAUCCGGAUUUAUUGGGUUUAAAGGGUGCGUAGGCGGAAUGGUAAGUCAGUGGUGAAAUCUUGUGGCUUAACUGCAAAACUGCCAUUGAUACUGCCAAUCUUGAGUACAUUUGAUGUGGGCGGAAUGUGCCAUGUAGUGGUGAAAUACUUAGAUAUGGCACAGAACACCGAUCGCGAAGGCAGCUCACAAAACUGUUACUGACGCUGAGGCACGAAAGCGUGGGGAUCAAACAGGAUUAGAUACCCUGGUAGUCCACGCCCUAAACUAUGAUUACUCGAUGUGUGCGAUACACAGUACGCGUCUAAGCGAAAGCGUUAAGUAAUCCACCUGGGGAGUACGGUCGCAAGAUUGAAACUCAAAGAAAUUGACGGGGGCCCGCACAAGCGGAGGAGCAUGUGGUUUAAUUCGAUGAUACGCGAGGAACCUUACCUGGGCUUGAAAGUUAGUGAAUGCUGUGGAAACAUGGCAGGCCGCAAGGACACGAAACUAGGUGCUGCAUGGCUGUCGUCAGCUCGUGCCGUGAGGUGUUGGGUUAAGUCCCGCAACGAGCGCAACCCCUAUCUUUAGUUGCCAGCGAGUAAUGUCGGGGACUCUAAAGAAACUGCCCGUGCAAACGGUGAGGAAGGUGGGGAUGACGUCAAGUCAGCACGGCCCUUACGUCCAGGGCUACACACGUGCUACAAUGGCGAGUACAAAGGGCAGCUACAUGGUGACAUGAUGCUAAUCUCUAGAACUCGUCUCAGUUCGGAUUGAAGUCUGCAAUUCGACUUCAUGAAGCUGGAUUCGCUAGUAAUCGAAUAUCAGCAAUGAUUCGGUGAAUACGUUCCCGGGCCUUGUACACACCGCCCGUCAAACAAUGGAAGCUGAGGGUACUUAAAGUCGAUAACCGCAAGGAGUCGCCUAGGGUAAAAUCGGUAACUGGUGUUAAGUCGGAACAAGGUA